UUCAAGUGUCCUUGAUGCCCUUCCAUUUGUGGGUCAGGCCACCUUAAACAUGGCCUUGUACGAUGACCCACCUUCAGCUAAUGCCAUCCGCAAUCUCUUUCCAUCUUUUCUAUCCAUCAACCCCUUCACAACCCCAACGAUCUCCGCCCUCCCAAGAAAUAUUUCAGAUUGUUGGUGGAUCUGAACAUACUAUACGUGAAUAAUUCAUAUUCUCACAAGAAUCAUAUUGUAAAGCUGGAUGUGUCACGUUUGGCUGACAUUUAGAUGAUGUGGACUUUUGCUGCAAGCUGGUCAAAGAGGAAUCAAUGGUCAUUCUUCCAGGUGUGAUGAUAUGUGUGUGAAAUCCUAGUAAGAGGGAGCUGAAAAAUGAUUUCGAUCGAAGCAGAUCAGACAAUAGCUUUACAUAGAUAGUAUUCCAUAUGGACUGGAUGGUGCUCAAUGCAUUGGCCAGUUUUUUAUGUAUGUCGAGUAUAUUUGCAGAGAUAUUAUGGGAUGGUGGUUGGCUUCCACAACUUCUUCCACACAGCGAGGAGGAAUUUAAUAGUCACCACUUUAAAUAGAUCUUGUUCAUGUG